GAAUAGGCAGGUCUGAAUAAUGAGUGGAAUGCUUACUCCCCUACCAUUCCAUGUGCAUUUCUCCCAAAGCUGCAUAGUCAGUGAAAAAGAACAACGGUCCUAGGUAGAAAAAGUUUGCUAAUCUUUGAACAAGGGUAUAGGAUAGCUAUGCUCUCCUGCUAGAACUUCCAAACAAGUUCAAGGACAAUUUGCUCUAAUGUUCACUUCCUUUCAGAGUUGGAAUGCAAUAAACCUCUGCAUAACCACGUCACACAAGGAGCAAAAGGCACAUUG
rnacentral:sRNA from 1 species